rnacentral:lncRNA from 1 species
UAAUACAAACCGUAUCGAAAUGUGUUGAUUUUUUAUGGAAUCCACGCCAUCCAGACUGAAAUACAAACACCUCAAAAAAAUAUUAUCUCUAUAACAACGAACGGGCAGUUGCCUAGUACAACAAAACUUAUCUAUUUUCAGUUUUUAUUCCCGUAUCCUAAGUUAUACUACAUGUAUGUAUGCAGAGCGUACAGGAAGGACCAAUGUCGGCUAAAUACGUCCCAGACACAACGUACCUAGCUAACUAUUUGCCUAGUAAUUCAAGGCAUACAGAAGACGCGAUAUCGUGGACGCCUCCACCAUUGACGGAAGUGGGACAGCCCAUGAAGCCGCCGAAUGGAACAAUGCUAGUGCCGCCGGCGCCAUCGACUUGGAAGUCGCUUGACACGGCAGUUCCAACCCCAGCGAGUAGGACCGUGAUGCUCUUGAAGAUUUCACCGACUCGUUGAUACAGAAAACCGCGUCGAUGGAUGCAUGCACCUUGAGACCUACUUUGUUUUCAGAUACUGCCCAGCUGGUCCAUGACGAUGGUGACAACGUCGUCAUUAUUGUUGCAGAAGCCCCAAUUGUAGCAGACCUUGAUGGUCGGGACGCCCAAACGGUUCCCCAUGCCUCCAAUGCCCACGAAGAGGUUCUUCCCGUGCGUUUGAUACCGAGACAACAUUACCACAUCAUUUCUUCCGUGGUUGUACAUUCUACACGUUCAAGGGCAUGUCAUGCUCAAGAGAUGUGUUUGUUGCUGAUGCACUUGUGGGUGUUGUGGAGCUUGAGGUUCAAAUAAGCUAUGGAGGAGUACAUAAAAUGAAGAGGCAGGGGCCGAUGAAGGAUGUAAAUGAGGUGCAAAUACUAUAGCAAAUGUCUUUUUAGGAAUCAAGAAGAGUCAAUUUGUGUGAUGUCCAUUUAAGGCAUAUGCAACGCAGACCUUCAAACCAUUCACAUCUUUUUGUAUCACACGAUACACAUGGGUUGUCCUCUAAAGCAGUACCGCUUUCAUCCGUGCACCAGUCCGGAUGCCGUUUUCCCCACAGACUGGUGGUUUUGCAGACGUCUGGACCGCUGCCACGCACAUGUUCGAUAACUCUGGCAUACAAAACCAUAUCCCUCGCCUGCAUGCUUUCCCACACAAAGUGUUUGACACACAUUCAUGAAGGUUUGGAGCGGCUGAUCUACAUUGACGCCAAUAAAGAGCAGACAUGACCUCUCACUAGUGUCGGUAUUAUAGCAGCUCACCGACUAAGAGCGCCGCCUGCACCGCAUCCUUGGUAUCCAUUCACGUUCAAUACAGGAGAGAUGUUACUAGACGGGAUGGGAUGUAUAUCAACUGCAUUCAAGCAGAAUGCCCGUCCAUCCGCCCGUCAGCCGCAAUUAAACCAGCACGUCGAUCUAGAAAAGAACUCCAGCAUUGACACACCCAGUCGCUUGGCAUCACUGGAAUCCUAUAUUAAAUGAGGCCACUCCCAGCACAAACCGCACCACAACAUGCCGAAUCCAUGACCGCGAGAGGUAACAUGUUGUGGUUAAACCUGAGAAUGGUUUCAUACUUGAACCAUACUUGAACCAUACCCAUUCAUUUAUCUUUCAAAACCAUACUUGAACCAUACCCAUUUAGUGUCAUUUUUAGCCCAACCAAAACCAAACCCACUAUUUUUUCCACCCAAACCAAUUUAAACCCAAAAC